GACGAACGCUGGCGGCGUGCUUAACACAUGCAAGUCGAACGGAAAGGCCCUGCUUUUGUGGGGUGCUCGAGUGGCGAACGGGUGAGUAACACGUGAGUAACCUGCCCUUGACUUUGGGAUAACUUCAGGAAACUGGGGCUAAUACCGGAUAGGAGCUCCUGCUGCAUGGUGGGGGUUGGAAAGUUUCGGCGGUUGGGGAUGGACUCGCGGCUUAUCAGCUUGUUGGUGGGGUAGUGGCUUACCAAGGCUUUGACGGGUAGCCGGCCUGAGAGGGUGACCGGGCACCUUGGGACUGAGAUACGGCCCAGACUCCUACGGGAGGCAGCAGUGGGGAAUAUUGCACAAUGGGCGGAAGCCUGAUGCAGCAACGCCGCGUGCGGGAUGACGGCCUUCGGGUUGUAAACCGCCUUCGCCUGUGACGAAGCGUGAGUGACGGUAAUGGGUAAAGAAGCACCGGCUAACUACGUG
rnacentral:rRNA from 1 species